rnacentral:rRNA from 1 species
CAGCCGCCGCGGGAAUACGUAGGGUGCGAGCGUUAAUCGGAAUUACUGGGCGUAAAGCGUGCGCAGGCGGUUUGGCAAGUCUUGUGUGAAAUCUUCGGGCUCAACCCGAAGCCUGCACGAGAAACUGCCGGGCUUGAGUAUUGGAGAGGUGAGUGGAAUUUCCGGUGUAGCGGUGUAAUGCGUAGAUAUCGGAAGGAACACCUGUGGCGAAAGCGGCUCACUGGACAAUAACUGACGCUGAUGCACGAAAGCUAGGGGAGCAAACAGGAUUAGAUACCCCCGUAGUCCCUGUCUCUUAUAA